rnacentral:rRNA from 1 species
GGAGUGGCCGAUGCCUGAUUAGCUAGUUGGUGGGGUAAUGGCCUACCAAGGCGACGAUCAGUAGUUGGUCUGAGAGGACGCCCAGCCACACUGGGACUGAGACACGGCCCAGACUCCUACGGGAGGCAGCAGUGGGGAAUUUUGGACAAUGGGCGAAAGCCUGAUCCAGCAAUGCCGCGUGAGUGAAGAAGGCCUUCGGGUUGUAAAGCUCUUUCAGUCGAGAAGAAAAGGUUGUGACUAAUAAUCACAACUCAUGACGGUAUCGACAGAAGAAGCACCGGCUAACUACGUGCCAGCAGCCGCGGUAAUACGUAGGGUGCGAGCGUUAAUCGGAAUUACUGGGCGUAAAGGGUGCGCAGGCGGCUUUGUAAGUCAGAUGGGAAUCCCCCGGG